GGGCCCUUGGUCUAGCGGUUACGGCCGGGCGAACCGCCCCGCUGCCGAAAAUGACGUCGCCUUUACAAGGCGGAGACCACCGGUUCGAAUCCGGUAGGGCCCA
rnacentral:tRNA from 1 species